rnacentral:misc_RNA from 1 species
CAAAAUUUUACGUGAUUGCAACUUUACCGCUUUACGCUGUAUUCAAUCUCGUUCAAUAUCAAUCAUUGUGAACUGUUCACUGUUGUCGUGCAAGUUUGUCUUGUACCAGACGCGGUGUAUUUAUAUCAAUAUCUAGACUAUUGAACCAUAAACUAAAAACUA